rnacentral:tRNA from 1 species
GGCUCCGUGGUGUAGUUAGUAUCGCAUUGGCCUAGAAUGCCGAAGACGCUGGUUCGAAUCCAGCCGGUGCCC